rnacentral:rRNA from 1 species
CAUGAUCCUAUGCUGCCGAGAAAAGCCUCUAGUGAGUGUUGUGGCGGCCCGUACCCUAAACCGACUCAGGUGGUCAGGUAGAGAAUACCAAGGCGAUCGGGUGAACUGUGGUUAAGGAACUCGGCAAAUUGCCCCCGUAACUUCGGGAGAAGGGGGACCUCUGCUGGUGAUGGGCUUUACGUUCUGAGCUGGUGGGGGUCGCAGUGGCCAGGGGGAAGCGACUGUUUACUAAAAACACAGGUCCGUGCGAAGUCGUAAGACGAUGUAUACGGACUGACGCCUGCCCGGUGCCGGAACGUUAAGGGGACCGCUUAGCCAACGCGAGUUGGCGAAGGUGAGAACUUAAGCGCCGGUAAACGGCGGUGGUAACUAUAACCAUCCUAAGGUAGCGAAAUUCCUUGUCGGGUAAGUUCCGACCUGCACGAAUGGCGUAACGACUUCCCCGCUGUCUCAACCACAGACCCGGCGAAAUUGCACUACGAGUAAAGAUGCUCGUUUCGCGCAGCAGGACGGAAAGACCCCGGGACCUUCACUACAGCUUGGCAUUGGCGUUUGGAACGUCUUGUGUAGGAUAGGUGGGAGACUGGGAAGCUGUCACGCUAGUGAUGGUGGAGUCAUUGGUGAAAUACCACUCUGGUCGUUUUGAACGUCUAACUCUGGUCCGUGAUCCGGAUCGGGGACAGUGUCUGGUGGGUAGUUUAACUGGGGCGGUUGCCUCCUAAAGAGUAACGGAGGCGCCCAAAGGUUCCCUCAGCCUGGUUGGCAAUCAGGUGUUGAGUGUAAGUGCACAAGGGAGCUUGACUGUGAGACUGACAGGUCGAGCAGGAGCGAAAGCUGGGACUAGUGAUCCGGCAUCGGCGUGUGGAAGCGGUGUCGCUCAACGGCUAAAAGGUACCCCGGGGAUAACAGGCUGAUCUUCCCCAAGAGUCCAUAUCGACGGGAUGGUUUGGCACCUCGAUGUCGGCUCGUCGCAUCCUGGGGCUGGAGUAGGUCCCAAGGGUUGGGCUGUUCGCCCAUUAAAGCGGUACGCGAGCUGGGUUUAGAACGUCGCAAGACAGUUCGGUCCCUAUCCGCUGCGCGCGCAGGAGACUUGAAGGGGGCUGUCCCUAGUACGAGAGGACCGGGACGGACGAACCUCUGGUGUGCCAGUUGUACCGCCAGGUGCACGGCUGGUUGGCUACGUUCGGAAGGGAUAACCGCUGAAAGCAUCUAAGCGGGAAGCUCGCCUUGAGAUGAGGUCUCCCACCCCGUGAGGGGGUAAGGCUCCCGGUAGAUCACCGGGUUGAUAGGCCGGAGGUGGAAGCACGGUAACGUGUGGAGCUGACCGGUACUAAUAGGCCGAGGACUUGACC